rnacentral:rRNA from 1 species
GACGAACGCUGGCGGCGUGCUUAACACAUGCAAGUCGAGCGGUAAGGCCCUUCGGGGUACACGAGUGGCGAACGGGUGAGUAACACGUGGGUGAUCUGCCCUGCACUUCGGGAUAAGCCUGGGAAACUGGGUCUAAUACCGGAUAGGACUCCUGGCUUCAUGGUUGGGGGUGGAAAGCUUUUGCGGUGUGGGAUGGGCCCGCGGCCUAUCAGUUUGUUGGUGGGGUAAUGGCCUACCAAGGCGACGACGGGUAGCCGGCCGGAGAGGGUGACCGGUCAGACUGGGACUGGGAGAGGGCCCAGAACCCAGCGGGGGGAGGCGGUGGGGAAUAUUGCACAAGGGGCGCAAGCCGGAGGCAGCGACGCGGCGUGGGGGAUGACGGCCUUCGGGUUGUAAACCUCUUUCAGCUAUGACGAAGCGCAAGUGACGGUAGUAGCAGAAGAAGGACCGGCCAACUACGUGCCAGCAGCCGCCGUAA